rnacentral:tRNA from 1 species
GGUUUUGUAGUGUAGACAAUUUUAGCACAUUAGAUUGCAAAUCUAAAAGAGACUUUUUUAAUCUAAAACCU